rnacentral:rRNA from 1 species
UAGGGAAUCUUCGGCAAUGGGGGGAACCCUGACCGAGCAACGCCGCGUGAGUGAAGAAGGUUUUCGGAUCGUAAAGCUCUGUUGUUAAGGAAGAACGAGUGUGAGAAUGGAAAGUUCAUGCUGUGACGGUACUUAACCAGAAAGGGACGGCUAACUACGUGCCAGCAGCCGCGGUAAUACGUAGGUGGCAAGCGUUGUCCGGAUUUAUUGGGCGUAAAGCGAGCGCAGGCGGUCAAUUAAGUCUGAUGUGAAAGCCCCCGGCUCAACCGGGGAGGGUCAUUGGAAACUGGUUGACUUGAGUGCAGAAGAGGAGAGUGGAAUUCCAUGUGUAACGGUGAAAUGCGUAGAUAUAUGGAGGAACACCAGUGGCGAAGGCGACUCUCUGGUCUGUAACUGACGCUGAGGCUCGAAAGCGUGGGUAGCAAACAGG